rnacentral:tRNA from 1 species
GCCUGGGUGGCUCGGUCGUUGAGCAUCUGACUUCGGCUCAGGGCAGGAUCUUGUGGUUCGUGGGUUCGAGCCCCGCCUCCGGCU